GACGAACGCUGGCGGCGUGCUUAACACAUGCAAGUCGAACGGAAAGACCCUGCUUUUGUGGGGUGCUCGAGUGGCGAACGGGUGAGUAACACGUGAGUAACCUGCCCUUGACUUUGGGAUAACUUCAGGAAACUGGGGCUAAUACCGGAUAGGAGCUCCUGCUGCAUGGUGGGGGUUGGAAAGUUUCGGCGGUUGGGGAUGGACUCGCGGCUUAUCAGCUUGUUGGUGGGGUAGUGGCUUACCAAGGCUUUGACGGGUAGCCGGCCUGAGAGGGUGACCGGCCACAUUGGGACUGAGAUACGGCCCAGACUCCUACGGGAGGCAGCAGUGGGGAAUAUUGCACAAUGGGCGGAAGCCUGAUGCAGCAACGCCGCGUGCGGGAUGACGGCCUUCGGGAUGUAAACCGCUUUCGCCUGUGACGAAGCGUGAGUGACGGUAAUGGGUAAAGAAGCACCGGCUAACUACGUG
rnacentral:rRNA from 1 species